rnacentral:rRNA from 1 species
CCCUUAGAUGUUCUGGGCUGCACGCGUGCUACAAUGGCGUUUCCAGCAAGUCUGCGAACCCGAGAGGGCCAGCGGAUCUUCGAAUUGGCGUCGUGAUCGGGACAGUCGAUUGCAAUUAUUUGGCUCAAACGAGGAAUUCCUUGUAAUCGCGAUUCAUCAUAUCGCGCUGAAUACGUCCCUGCCCUUUGUACACACCGCCCGUCGCUCCUACCGAUUGAGCGAUCCGGUAAAUGUUUUGGAUUGGUGCCGGGGCGGCUAGCUGCCGGUCGCUACGAAAUUUUGUGAACCUUAUCGCUUAGAGGAAGGAAAAGUCGUAACA